GCAAGGAACUGGUGGCACGCUCCAGCGACCUGCUGGAUGAGCAACUGGGCUUUCGCGAGAAGCUGGCGCUGCGCCGGCACCUGCUGCUGUGUCGCAACUGUCGGCGUUACCUGCGGCAGAUGCGGCUGACCCAGGCUACUUUGCGCGCGCUGCCGGAGAAAUCCGGCGCGGACACCGACCUGCUCGCCGCGCAUCUCGCCGAGCUGCGACGGGACCAUUCGCGGCGCUGACCCUGGGGAAGGCUCUU
rnacentral:sRNA from 1 species